rnacentral:rRNA from 1 species
GAGGGCAAUCUGCCCUGCACUCUGGGACAAGCCCUGGAAACGGGGUCUAAUACCGGAUACUGACCAUCGCAGGCAUCUGUGAUGUUCGAAAGCUCCGGCGGUGCAGGAUGAGCCCGCGGCCUAUCAGCUUGUUGGUGAGGUAAUGGCUCACCAAGGCGACGACGGGUAGCCGGCCUGAGAGGGCGACCGGCCACACUGGGACUGAGACACGGCCCAGACUCCUACGGGAGGCAGCAGUGGGGAAUAUUGCACAAUGGGCGAAAGCCUGAUGCAGCGACGCCGCGUGAGGGAUGACGGCCUUCGGGUUGUAAACCUCUUUCAGCAGGGAAGAAGCGAAAGUGACGGUACCUGCAGAAGAAGCGCCGGCUAACUACGUGCCAGCAGCCGCGGUAAUACGUAGGGCGCGAGCGUUGUCCGGAAUUAUUGGGCGUAAAGAGCUCGUAGGCGGCUUGUCACGUCGGUUGUGAAAGCCCGGGGCUUAACCCCGGGUCUGCAGUCGAUACGGGCAGGCUAGAGUUCGGUAGGGGAGAUCGGAAUUCCUGGUGUAGCGGUGAAAUGCGCAGAUAUCAGGAGGAACACCGGUGGCGAAGGCGCAUCUCUGGCCCGAUACUGACGCUGAGGAGCGAAAGCGUGGGGAGCGAACAGGAUUAGAUACCCUGGUAGUCCACGCCGUAAACGGUGGGCACUAGGUGUGGGCAACAUUC